rfam:Pteropus alecto contig168206, whole genome shotgun sequence.
GGUUUCAUAGUGUAGUGGUUAGCAUGUCUGCUUUAUAUGCAGAAGGUCCUGGGUUCGUGCCCCAGUGGAGACA